AUGGUUCUGCAUUCUGCACAGGAAGCACAAUGCCAGCAUCUGCUCCUGGGGAGGCCUUGGGAGAUUCCACUCAUGGCAGAGGUCAGAAAACUGGCAGCACAUGGCUGGAUUCUCUGCUCUGGGUCUCACAUGACUGAAAUCAAGUCUUGGCAAUUCCAGUUUUCACACUCCUGCUUGGCAGAUUUUCUUGCUGCCAAAAAAAUGCAUUCAGCCCUGAAACUUUCAUACGGAUGUGCAAAGGAGCUAGCUUCCAAGGUACUUAGUACUUGUCUGUACUGUAAUUUAUCCUUGAGCCAACUUGUUUUGGAAAUGUGUUGA
rnacentral:lncRNA from 13 species